rnacentral:tRNA from 1 species
UCCCUGACAGUCUAGUUGUUAAGACAUAGGCUUUCACUGCCGUUGGGCCCAGGUUCAAUUCCUGGUCAGGGAA